rnacentral:rRNA from 1 species
GUGGGGAAUAUUGGACAAUGGGCGCAAGCCUGAUCCAGCCAUGCCGCGUGUGUGAAGAAGGCCUUUUGGUUGUAAAGCACUUUAAGCGAGGAGGAGGCUCCUAUAGUUAAUACCUAUAGAGAGUGGACGUUACUCGCAGAAUAAGCACCGGCUAACUCUGUGCCAGCAGCCGCGGUAAUACAGAGGGUGCAAGCGUUAAUCGGAUUUACUGGGCGUAAAGCGUGCGUAGGCGGCUUUUUAAGUCGGAUGUGAAAUCCCUGAGCUUAACUUAGGAAUUGCAUUCGAUACUGGGAAGCUAGAGUAUGGGAGAGGAUGGUAGAAUUCCAGGUGUAGCGGUGAAAUGCGUAGAGAUCUGGAGGAAUACCGAUGGCGAAGGCAGCCAUCUGGCCUAAUACUGACGCUGAGGUACGAAAGCAUGGGGAGCAAACAGGAUUAGAAACCCCGGUAGUCC